rnacentral:rRNA from 1 species
AGAACGAACGCUGGCGGCAGGCUUAAUACAUGCAAGUCGAACGGUUACUUCGGUAGCCGUGGCGCACGGGUGAGUAACGCGUGGGUACGUGCCCUUAGGUCGGGAAUAACGGCGGGAAACUGCCGAUAAUACCUGAUAUGGAGAGAUCUGAAAGAUUUAUCGCCUAAGGAUCGGCCCGCGUUGGAUUAGCUAGUUGGUGGGGUAAUGGCCUACCAAGGCUCCGAUCCAUAGCUGGUCUGAGAGGAUGAUCAGCCACACUGGGACUGAGACACGGCCCAGACUCCUACGGGAGGCAGCAGUAGGGAAUAUUGGACAAUGGGGGAAACCCUGAUCCAGCCAUGCCGCGUGAGUGAUGAAGGCCUUGGGUUGUAAAGCUCUUUUAGCAGGGAAGAUAAUGACUGUACCUGCAGAAUAAGCCCGGCUAACUUCGUGCCAGCAGCCGC